rnacentral:ncRNA from 1 species
CAAGAGGGCCGCGUACGAUCGCGGUUAGUCGUUGCGAUAGUAAUCCUGCCCAGUACGAGAGGAACGGCAGGUUCGGACAUUUGGUUCGGCACUCGCUCGAGCGGGCGUUGGUGCGAGGCUACCAUCCGUUGGAUUACGCCUGAACGCCUCUAAGGCCGUAACCGUUCUGGAGAGAAACCGUCGGGCGCGGGCGUCGCUCUCGGGCGGCGCCCGUGUCCGAGGUCAACGAUCAUCCGUUCGUCGGAGGAGUCCCCGUCCAUAGUCGAGUAGGCGAGAAAGUAAUUCGACGGGUCGGCGCGCGUCGUCGACCCUAGAACGCGCCGCUUUCGCCGUAUGGUCGGCGGCGAGUUCCCCUCGCUGGGAGCCCGUCGAUCUAACGGUCUAAAGACGAAGUCGCAGUGCACGCUGCGAGCAUCGGCGUGGGGACUCGGAACCGUCUGUAGACGACUUAGGUACCGGGCGGGGUGUUGUACUCGGCAGAGCAGUUACCACGCUGCGAUCUGUUAAGACUGCCCUACGCUCGGAGGUUCGU